AGUUGAACUUUUUUGUUUUGGUGGUAAGUUUUUUGCUCAUCUACCUAUUGGGUCCUUAGUAUUUUUCAAGUUGUAUAUAUGACAUCUCUGGUUAAUAAGGGUAUUAACCAUUUGAGAGUGGUAGAUUUUAAAGGACAAAACUAUACAAAAUGCUUACUUGUUUAGUGAAGAGCUAAUAUUAAGACAUUUUCAGUCUGUAAAGAAUUGACUUGUCAUGGUUUGAUCAGACCUGCGAAGACACGAGUGGACCAGGAGGAGUUUUCAGAGGAGUCUGUGAUAGGCGCUUUGUGACUCCAGGACACGUUGAGUAUACGUGAUUGAUGAAACCAAUGGUACAUCUGGAACACUGGCUGAAAUGAAGAAUGGAAAAUGUUAGCUUUCCAGGCCUCCUCAGGCCAGGAAGGCAUACUGGAGAGAUACGGCAGCAGAGUCACACAAGCAAGGCAGCUGGAUUUGUGACAAUGAGAGAAGCGCGGGGUCAAAGAACAUAGAGUGUUUUGAGAACAGUGUCUCCAGAUGAGAGGGAAGAGAACUGAGCAGGAAGCUAAAGAACUGGCGCCAGAAAACCACUCCCAGGAUGCCUACUUUUCAUGCUGCGUGUUUUCAUGUCAAUACCUCUUCCUGUGGCUUUAAGAUUGGAACUAUUUAAAAAAUGUCACUGUCAAUUACAUGCAAACCUUAUUGUGGUUAGUCU
rnacentral:lncRNA from 10 species